AAAAAUGCAAUUAAAUUAUAAUUUAAUAUUAAUAAUUAUGAAUUUUGUUAAUUUUAAUAAAAAUUUUAUUGGGUGAAAUUUUAAAUUUUUAUAUAAAUUAUUUAAAAAUUAAUAUUUAAGAAAUUUUAUUUUAAACUAGGAUUAGAUACCCUAUUAUUAUAAAUGUAAAGUGUUAUUAGAUUAGUAUUAGUUAUGUUCUUGAAAAUUAAAGAUUUUGGCGGUUUUUUAGUCUGUUCAGAGGAACCUGUUUUGUAAUCGAUAAUCCACGAUUUGAUUAACUUUUUCUUUUAGCUUAUAUAUCGUCGUAUUUAGAAUAUUUUAUUAGAAUUUGAAUGUUCAAUAAGUAAAGUUUAUUUAAAAUCAGAUCAAGGUAUAGUUUAUGUGAAAGUAAAAAUGGGUUACAUUAAUUUUAAUUAGGGAUUAUUUUUGUAAGAAAAGUAAGAAUUUGGAUUUGAUAGUAAUUUUUAUAAAUUUCUAAAAUGAUUAGAGCUCUAAAUUAUGUACAUAUUGCCCGUCGCUUUCAUUUUAAGGUGAAAUAAGUCGUAACAGAGUAGGCUUACUGGAAAGUGUGCCUAGAAAGCGAGAGAGAGCUUGAUUAUAAAGCAUUUUAGUUACAUUAAAAAGUUAAUUGUGAAAUUCAAUUUUUCUUGAUUAAAAAAAAUUAUUUAUUUAGUUAUAAUAGGGGGGAUUAUUAAUUAAUAAAAAUAAUUUAAUUUAUAGUAUAAUUAAGAAAAAAUUUUUUUAAUUAUAGAAAAUUAUGUAUUGUGAAAGAAAUUUAUUAAAAAUUAAUAAGAAAAAUUUAUUUU
rnacentral:rRNA from 1 species